rnacentral:rRNA from 1 species
CGGGUGAGUAACGCGUGAGGAACCUGCCUCAAAGAGGGGGACGACAGUUGGAAACGACUGCUAAUACCGCAUAAGCCCACGGCUCGGCAUCGAGCAGAGGGAAAAGGAGUGAUCCGCUUUGAGAUGGCCUCGCGUCCGAUUAGCUAGUUGGUGAGGUAACGGCCCACCAAGGCAACGAUCGGUAGCCGGACUGAGAGGUUGAACGGCCACAUUGGGACUGAGACACGGCCCAG